UACAGAGGGUGCAAGCGUUGUUCGGAAUUCUUGGGCGUAAAGGGAGUGUAGGCGGUUUCCUAAGUCUUCUGUGAAAUCUACGGGCUUAGCCUGUAACGUGCAGAGGAAACUGGGAGACUUGAGUGUCGGAGAGGAUAGGGGAAUACCCGGUGUAGAGGUGAAAUUCGUAGAGAUCGGGUGGAACACCAGUGGCGAAGGCGCCUAUCUGGCUGACAACUGACGCUGAGACUCGAAAGCAUGGGGAGCAAACAGG
rnacentral:rRNA from 1 species